GUCCUAGCUGUAAACGAUGAGUACUGGGUAGAGUUGGUCCAAUGCCAGCUCUGCCGGAGCAAAUGUGUUAAGUACUCCGCCUGGGGAGUAUGGUCGCAAGGCUAAAACUCAAAGGAAUUGACGGGGGCUCACACAAGCGGUGGAGCAUGUGGUUUAAUUCGAAGCAACGCGAAGAACCUUACCCGGGUUUGAAAUGUACGGAUUAGGAUGCUGAAAGGUGUCUGACGCCGCAAGGUGGAACGUACACAGGUGUUGCAUGGCUGUCGU
rnacentral:rRNA from 1 species